rnacentral:rRNA from 1 species
GUAGGGAAUCUUCCACAAUGGACGAAAGUCUGACGGAGCGACGCCGCGUGAGUGAAGAAGGCCUUCGGGUCGUAAAGCUCUGUCAUCAGGGACGAACGGCCGGUGGAGUGGAAAGCCACCGGAUUGACGGUACCUGAGAAGGAAGCCACGGCUAACUACGUGCCAGCAGCCGCGGUAAUACGUAGGUGGCAAGCGUUGUCCGGAAUUAUUGGGCGUAAAGCGCGCGCAGGUGGGAUCUUAAGUCCAUUUUUAAAGUUCGGAGCUCAACUCCGUGAUGGGAUGGAAACUGGGAUUCUUGAGUACCGGAGAGGAAAGCGGAAUUCCCCGUGUAGCGGUGAAAUGCGUAGAUAUGGGGAGGAACACCAGUGGCGAAGGCGGCUUUCUGGACGGUGUCUGACACUGAGGCGCGAAAGCCAGGGGAGCGAACGGGAUUAGAUACCCUGGUAGUCC